CGCCACUGCAAAUGGCCCAAAACAUAUUAACACCACUCUGACAAGGGUCAAGUUUGAAGAAUUGUGUUGAAAUUUGUUAGACAGAUUAUGCAGCACCAUUGUUUUCCCCUUGAUAAGUGUCUUGGUGAACAUUUGCUUAUUUAGCCUGUGUGAAGCAUGAGUCUCAAAAAAAUUGCUGCCAUCAGGCUCCCUCUUUGGUACACAUUCCAUGAAGAGCACACAUCAAUGUUAAAAGAGCUAUAGAG